UGGGGAAUAUUGCACAAUGGGCGCAAGCCUGAUGCAGAGACGCCGCGUGGGGGAUGACGGCCUUCGGGUUGUAAAAUCCUUUCGCUAGGGACGAAGCUUUUUGUGACGGUACCUAGAUAAGAAGCACCGGCUAACUACGUGCCAGCAGCCGCGGUAAUACGUAGGGUGCGAGCGUUGUCCGGAAUUACUGGGCGUAAAGGGCUCGUAGGUGGUUUGUCGCGUCGUCUGUGAAAUUCCGGGGCUUAACUCCGGGCGUGCAGGCGAUACGGGCAUAACUUGAGUACUGUAGGGGUAACUGGAAUUCCUGGUGUAGCGGUGAAAUGCGCAGAUAUCAGGAGGCACACCGAUGGCGAAGGCAGGUUACUGGGCAGUUACUGACGCUGAGGAGCGAAAGCAUGGGUAGCGAACAGG
rnacentral:rRNA from 1 species